rnacentral:rRNA from 1 species
GACGAACGCUGGCGGCGUGCUUAACACAUGCAAGUCGAACGGAAAGACCCUGCUUUUGUGGGGUGCUCGAGUGGCGAACGGGUGAGUAACACGUGAGUAACCUGCCCUUGACUUUGGGAUAACUUCAGGAAACUGGGGCUAAUACCGGAUAGGAGCUCCUGCUGCAUGGUGGGGGUUGGAAAGUUUCGGCGGUUGGGGAUGGACUCGCGGCUUAUCAGCUUGUUGGUGGGGUAGUGGCUUACCAAGGCUUUGACGGGUAGCCGGCCUGAGAGGGUGACCGGCCACAUUGGGACUGAGAUAAGGCCCAGACUCCUACGGGAGGCAGCAGUGGGGAAUAUUGCACAAUGGGCGGAAGCCUGAUGCAGCAACGCCGCGUGCGGGAUGACGGCAUUCGGGUUGUAAACCGCUUUCGCCUGUGACGAAGCGUGAGUGACGGUAAUGGGUAAAGAAGCACCGGCUAACUACGUG